rnacentral:rRNA from 1 species
AAUAGAUACCCCGGUAGUCCAUGCCGUAAACGGUGGGCGCUAGGUGUGGGGUUCCUUCCACGGGCUCCGCGCCGUAGCUAACGCAUUAAGCGCCCCGCCUGGGGAGUACGGCCGCGAAGGCUAAAACUCAAAAGAAAUUAGACGGGGGCCCGCACAAGCGGCGGAGCAUGUGGAUUAAUUCGAUGCAACGCGAAGAACCUUACCUGGGCUUGACAUAUAGAGGAUCGCUACAGAGAUGUGGUUUCCCUUGUGGCUUCUAUACAGGUGGUGCAUGGUUGUCGUCAGCUCGUGUCGUGAGAUGUUGGGUUAAGUCCCGCAACGAGCGCAACCCUUGUCUUAUGUUUGCCAGCACGUUAUGAUGGGGCCUCGUGAGAGACUGCCGGGGUCAACUCGGAGGAAGGUGGGGAUGACGUCAAAUCAUCAUGCCCCUUAUGUCCAGGGCUUCACACAUGCUACAAUGGCCGGUAACAGAGGGCUGCGAUGCCGUGAGGCGGAGCGAAUCUCUUAAAGCCGGUCUCAGUUCGGAUUGGGGU